AACGUGACUAAAAAUAUAAACACAUAAAUUCUAUUAGAGAAAUUGAAAAAAGAAAAUAUGCAAUUUCCAAAGUUAACAAUCCAUUAUUCAUUAAGGGAAAUGUUUCUUAUAUUGAGUCAUGUCUCUUAUUAAAACAUAGCAGUAGAGGUACAUAAAUAUAAAAUAUUAAAAUUAUAAAAUGCAACUUUUGGAUAUUAUACUUUUAAUAAGCUUCAAGACAGGAUUUUAACAGUGUGAGCAAUGAAAGGAAUGCAAAAAUAUAUAUUAAGAAAGUUGGGUUUUCCGGCUGGAGGGAUGGCUCACAACCAAAAAUAUAAGAAAGUAGGGUUUUGGUUUUUGAGACAGGGUCCCACUUUGUGGCCCUGACUGACCUGGAGUUCACUGUGUAAAUGAAACUCUAGAUGCCCUGCCUCUGCCCCUGAGUACAUAAGCUGCACAUCCAGGCACAAAAUAAACUCUAACUGUACCCAUCAUCAACGUCAACAACAACAAAAGCCACAUGAACUCUAAAAAAGCCAAACUCCACAUUUUUACAUGUAUAGGAAGAUUUUUAUUUGUUUUUGAGACAGGGUACUUUUUUAUAGCCCAGAUUGGCCAACAACUAACUCGCUAUAUAGCCCAGGUUGGCCAACAACUAACUCGCUAGCCCAGGUUGGCCAACAACUAACUCGCUAUAUAGCCCAGGUUGGCUUCAGACAUGGAAUCUUCCUGAAUCAACGUCCCCAAUGCUGUGUUCACAGGCCUACACCUCUCACCCGACAAGAGCGUUCUUAAGUAAGACACGGAUGCACAGACCACAAAAAGUGGUAGAUUUGUAGGAAAUGUAAGCUAUGACAGGCACAGUGUGGGAGAGAUGGCUGCAGCAUACAGCGCUGACUGCCGAAGGGGCUCACGGCCAUCACAGGAUCCAUCAGACCGCAAACACAGUGAGCUCAACCUUAUCCCCUCCACCCUCAGAAACCGACAGGGCACAGCCCCUGGGGACGGUGGCAUACUUGUUUAGCGGUAAAAGGCACACAGAUGGGUUAGUUCAGUUGGUCUGCACUCUGAAGAACAGCUUCCCCAGCAUUAUUUAUCAAGAGAUUAAUUGCUGGAAUCUCAGCUCCGUGGCUCCUGGAAGGUUGUGGAAACCUUUACGAGGUAGGGCUGGUUAGAGGAAGCAGGCACUGAAUGAAGGCAUGCCCUCGAAUGAGUGUGUAUGUGUGCGUGUGUGUACAUGACUAUUUAAUUUUAUAUGUAUAGGUUUUAUGUAUAUGUUUGUCUUUGGAACAUACAUUUGCCUGGUGACCACAGAGGCCAGGAGAAGGUGCUGGAUCUUGGGAGACUGGUGUUAGAGAUGGUUUGGGCAGCCAUGUGGGUGCUGGAAAUUGAACCCAGGUCCCUUGGGAGCCAGAGCUCUUAAGUACUGAACCAGCUCUCCAGCCAUAGGACAUAUUUUAUUCUUGGUCCUUUCCUCUCUCAUUUCCAGGCGGCCAUGUAGUAAGCAGUUCAGCUCUCCAUGAGCUCCAACUAGAAUGUGCCAAAAGCAGCAGAAACUGCUGAAACUGUGAGCUAAAGUAAACCUUUCCUCUGUUUAAAGGUUUUCCUUAGGCAUUUUGUCAUAGCAACACAAAGUUGACUAACACAUCAUUUCAUUAAAUAACCCUCACCCCUCCUACAUGAGACAGUGAAUCUCUGUUUAUUCUGCUCUGUGAUUCUGCCCAUCACAAUCUUAUGUCACUAUCCCAAUGUAAAGAAGAAUGUGGUUAAAACGACUUCACCAUUAAAAACAAAAACAAGGGGUUGGGGAUUUAGCUCAGUGGUAGAGCGCUUGCCUAGCAAGCACAAGGCCCUGGGUUCAGUCCCCAGCUCCAAAAAAAAAGAAAAAAUAAAAAGAAAAAAAGAAAAAAAAAAACAAAAACAAAAACAAACAAACAAAAAACCCAGGAUGAACAUAGCCUACCAACAGGACUGACAAGCUGUGGGAUGAUGUGAUAUGUCUAUCCACAUAUCAACUGACACAGAUUCUCUAGGGGCUGGGGAGAUGGCUCAGCAGUUAAGGGUGCGGCUUCCUGCUCUUCCAGAGGAUCAGAGCUUGGUUCCCAGCACCAUGAUAGGCAGCUCACAGCCGCCUUUACUUCAGCUGCAAGGGAUCCAAUGCCCUCUUGCCAUCUCUACACACACACACACACACACACACACACACACACACACAUACACACACACACAAACCUAUUAUACACACAUACACUUAAAAGUAAAUCUCAAAAUAAUUUUCCAGAUUUAGCAAUGUUGAACAAGUUGCUGUAUCACAAUACAAAUGGUGUAACAGACCGUUUGAUAACGUUUAAGAGCAGAGAGAAAACAACCCUCAAUCACUGUCCUGCUCAUGACAGCAUAAUCCACGGCUACGCUUAGAUGAGAAUUCUCACAGAAAAAUUUUUGUUGCGGUUUGCCCUGGAGUUAUCUGUAUUUUGAUGCUAAUUCCACUGCCCCAAGGACAGCUGCCUAGUCUAGUACUCAGAACUCAGGUGACUUCACCAGAACCACACCCCCAUUGAAUUUGUAAAGUACAGGUGAGGGGCAGGUACAGGAUAGAAGGAGGCCUGUCAUUGGAGGAGAAGGAAGGGUGGGUGGGAGAGAAGUUUGAAGGAAGAGGAGGAGACGAGAACAGAGAGGAGACAGAGGAGAGGGUGAGAAGCCAUGGCAGGUGAUGUUAAGAUUCUGCUCUGUGUAUUUACAGGUUGUUAUUAAUGUUCCUAAGGGAUGGACGGUACCGGGCUUUGUAUGUGUGUCCCCCUUUGCUGUACAGAAAGGCAGUGUUUGUGGAGGACCAGAGUAGAGGACAACUCUUCAGAGUAACGGUGUCACACCAAUAUUCAUGUUUUCAGAAUGAGGUCACCGCGUGAAAGAGACACGUAUUCCUUCCAGAGAAGGAAAGCUAGAAGGAUCAUGUUAGCAUCCCAUGACAGACAUUAUGAAUGGCCUUUACAGAUGGGCGGCUGAUGUGCUUAGGGGCCAUUCCCACAAGGACCUGCUUGUUUUUAGCCCUGGACAAAGGCUUUAAUGCCUCUCUGCCAUCCGGAUAACCCUUUUCCCCAUCUCCCUUUCCUGAACAAUUUUGAUUUGUAAUCAUGUCAAAUAAACUUUGAAAAUAGCAAUACGUAGU